GAUGAACGCUGGCGGCGUGCCUAAUACAUGCAAGUCGAGCGAACGGACGAGAAGCUUGCUUCUCUGAUGUUAGCGGCGGACGGGUGAGUAACACGUGGAUAACCUACCUAUAAGACUGGGAUAACUUCGGGAAACCGGAGCUAAUACCGGAUAAUAUUUUGAACCGCAUGGUUCAAAAGUGAAAGACGGUCUUGCUGUCACUUAUAGAUGGAUCCGCGCUGCAUUAGCUAGUUGGUAAGGUAACGGCUUACCAAGGCAACGAUGCAUAGCCGACCUGAGAGGGUGAUCGGCCACACUGGAACUGAGACACGGUCCAGACUCCUACGGGAGGCAGCAGUAGGGAAUCUUCCGCAAUGGGCGAAAGCCUGACGGAGCAACGCCGCGUGAGUGAUGAAGGUCUUCGGAUCGUAAAACUCUGUUAUUAGGGAAGAACAUAUGUGUAAGUAACUGUGCACAUCUUGACGGUACCUAAUCAGAAAGCCACGGCUAACUACGUGCCAGCAGCCGCGGUAAUACGUAGGUGGCAAGCGUUAUCCGGAAUUAUUGGGCGUAAAGCGCGCGUAGGCGGUUUUUUAAGUCUGACGUGAAAGCCCACGGCUCAACCGUGGAGGGUCAUUGGAAACUGGAAAACUUGAGUGCAGAAGAGGAAAGUGGAAUUCCAUGUGUAGCGGUGAAAUGCGCAGAGAUAUGGAGGAACACCAGUGGCGAAGGCGACUUUCUGGUCUGUAACUGACGCUGAUGUGCGAAAGCGUGGGGAUCAAACAGGAUUAGAUACCCUGGUAGUCCACGCCGUAAACGAUGAGUGCUAAGUGUUAGGGGGUUUCCGCCCCUUAGUGCUGCAGCUAACGCAUUAAGCACUCCGCCUGGGGAGUACGACCGCAAGGUUGAAACUCAAAGGAAUUGACGGGGACCCGCACAAGCGGUGGAGCAUGUGGUUUAAUUCGAAGCAACGCGAAGAACCUUACCAAAUCUUGACAUCCUUUGACAACUCUAGAGAUAGAGCCUUCCCCUUCGGGGGACAAAGUGACAGGUGGUGCAUGGUUGUCGUCAGCUCGUGUCGUGAGAUGUUGGGUUAAGUCCCGCAACGAGCGCAACCCUUAAGCUUAGUUGCCAUCAUUAAGUUGGGCACUCUAAGUUGACUGCCGGUGACAAACCGGAGGAAGGUGGGGAUGACGUCAAAUCAUCAUGCCCCUUAUGAUUUGGGCUACACACGUGCUACAAUGGACAAUACAAAGGGCAGCGAAACCGCGAGGUCAAGCAAAUCCCAUAAAGUUGUUCUCAGUUCGGAUUGUAGUCUGCAACUCGACUACAUGAAGCUGGAAUCGCUAGUAAUCGUAGAUCAGCAUGCUACGGUGAAUACGUUCCCGGGUCU
rnacentral:rRNA from 1 species